AAAAAUAAAAAAAAUAAAAAAAAAUAAAUAAUUUUUUUUGUUUUAGAAUUAUACUUUUUCAUAUUCGAACUUUUUUAUAAAAAAAUUUUUCGAAUUUUUUUUUUAUUUUUUUUUCAAAUUUCUUUUUGAAAAACGAUAAUUAUAUUUGAAACCAUUUUUUAAAAUUUUUUAUAUAUUUUUUAAGUAUUUAUAUAUUUAUUAGAAUCAUAAAUUUCAC
rnacentral:lncRNA from 1 species